rnacentral:rRNA from 1 species
AUGGCCUACCAAGACUAUGACACAUAACUGGUUUGAGAGGAUGAUCAGUCACACUGGAACUGAGACACGGUCCAGACUCCUACGGGAGGCAGCAGUGGGGAAUAUUGCACAAUGGACGAAAGUCUGAUGCAGCAACGCCGCGUGGAGGAUGACACAUUUCGGUGCGUAAACUCCUUUUAUAUGAGAAGAUAAUGACGGUAUUAUAUGAAUAAGCACCGGCUAACUCCGUGCCAGCAGCCGCGGUAAUACGGGGGGUGCAAGCGUUACUCGGAAUCACUGGGCGUAAAGAGCAUGUAGGCGGAUUGAUAAGUUUGAAGUGAAAUCCUAUAGCUUAACUAUAGAACUGCUUUGAAAACUGUUAAUCUAGAAUGUGGGAGAGGUAGAUGGAAUUUCUGGUGUAGGGGUAAAAUCCGUAGAGAUCAGAAGGAAUACCGAUUGCGAAGGCGAUCUACUGGAACAUUAUUGACGCUGAGAUGCGAAAGCGUGGGGAGCAAACAGGAUUAGAUACCCUGGUAGUCCACGCCCUAAACGAUGUACACUAGUUGUUGUGAGACUUGAUCUUGCAGUAAUGCAGUUAACACAUUAAGUGUACCGCCUGGGGAGUACGGUCGCAAGAUUAAAACUCAAAGGAAUAGACGGGGACCCGCACAAGCGGUGGAGCAUGUGGUUUAAUUCGACGAUACACGAAGAACCUUACCUGGACUUGACAUAGUAAGAACUUUCUAGAGAUAGAUUGGUGUCUGCUUGCAGAAACUUAUAUACAGGUGCUGCACGGCUGUCGUCAGCUCGUGUCGUGAGAUGUUGGGUUAAGUCCCGCAACGAGCGCAACCCUCGUGUUUAGUUGCUAACAGUUCGGCUGAGAACUCUAAACAGACUGCCUACGCAAGUAGGAGGAAGGUGAGGACGACGUCAAGUCAUCAUGGCCCUUACGUCCAGGGCUACACACGUGCUACAAUGGGAUAUACAAAGAGC